rnacentral:rRNA from 1 species
UACGGAGGGUGCAAGCGUUAUCCGGAUUCACUGGGUUUAAAGGGUGCGUAGGUGGGAAUGUAAGUCAGUGGUGAAAUCUCCGUGCUUAACAUGGAAACUGCCAUUGAUACUAUGUUUCUUGAAUCUUCCGGAGGUCAGCGGAAUAUGUCAUGUAGCGGUGAAAUGCUUAGAUAUGACAUAGAACACCAAUUGCGAAGGCAGCUGACUACAGGGGCAUUGACACUGAGGCACGAAAGCGUGGGAUCAAACAGG